rnacentral:piRNA from 1 species
UGAAAAAGACUUUUCAGUGAGUGGCUAGU